GCUGCUGGUCUGAAAGUCUCUUUCAGAAGGAGAGUAGUGUUUUUUUUCCUUCCUUCACUUUCAGUCCUCAUUUUUACUGCAGUAUUGUUUUAUGCAAGGCUCAGCAGGCUUUAAAAGCAGGCUGAUGGAGUCAGGUUUCAUAGUAAGCCCUUUUUGGGAGAAAUGAAUUAUUGCAGGCCUAAGAGCUAUGCGGCUGCUGAAAGACUACCAACCGAUGAUGGUCCCUCCCUCCAGAUGAGUGAUAUCAAAAACAUGCUUACAAAGUGACUGCUGUUCUUUAGGAAGUGAUAAAAAGAAACAACUAACAAGAAAGCAAGGAAAGAUAUAAAAUCUGAGAAGCUAACUACCUAGCUGGGGUCAUGGAAGGCACACAUGGAUCCUUCACCUAACCGACAGAAAUAGUAUAGGAAAUAAUUAACAUCUGUAUGUGGUACAAAGAUUUUGAAGGAAAGUAAAUUUACUGUUUUUCAAGGUUAAUUUUUUUCUGCAUUGAGUAUAAUCACCACAACAAUGAAUCAAUGUUGUUAGCAUUGCACUCAGAUCUGUGGAGACAUGAGUGUGCGUGAUGUGUUCAGAAGGCAGUGGAUGAAUUCUACACAGAUGUUCAUGGAGCAGCCAAGGGGUUAAAAUAAUAAUAUUCCUGUAAUCCUGGUUUAUACUGUGGGUGAACGAUAGAGUUCUUCACCUCCCAUUAGGUCUGGCACUUCAGAGCAUCUUUAACUUAAAAUGCUCAUUCACCCUCUCCUUUUAAGCUAUUACUGCAACAUCACUGCAAUCCAUUUAAAUUCAAAUUUUCAGCUUUAAUAACUGCACAUUUGAUCCACAAUAAGCUUCAUUCAUUAAAACUAUCAUUUACUGCAAGUGUGGAGUGUCUCCCUUGAAAGACUGUACGGAUAACUUGGAAAAAACAUUGUGUAUUUCCCACUUACUAUUUCUUGCAUAUCUUAUUGCAUAAAAAAUAAUAAAUCUCUCUUGAAAUCUGCACAUUUCCCUUCCUGUUCCUGCAAUGGCCCGAAUGUCAAAACAAAACAAAACACAUAUAUUCAGGGUGAUGGACAAAAUGGAAGCCUGCCAUGCCAGCUCAGUCUUUUCUUACUCUCCCAAUUUGAAUCUGACCUUGCCUUCCCUAGCAUAUCAAUUCCAAUUAGGUAUGGAAGCUGUUUUUAAAACAGUCAUAUUUGCUUUCCCUUAAGCCUUGCUUCACACUAUAAUUUCCCCCAACUUUCUUAGUGAUUAUUUGCUGCACUUGCUUAAAUAAUUACUCCAGUAACUUGUUUAAAUCUUUUGUGAAAUGCUUAGAUAAAAUGAUACUUACUUGCAUCCCAAACUAUGGAGGUGAAGUUACCCUUAGGGGUUGCAUACUUAGCUAUUUCCUGACAGGUAGAUUUACAGAUUUAACAGAUUUUGUUUGUUUGUU